UGAGUAACCUGCCCUUAACUCUGGGAUAAGCCUGGGAAACUGGGUCUAAUACCGGAUAUGACUCCUCAUCGCAUGGUGGGGGGUGUAAAGCUUUUUGUGGUUUUGGAUGGACUCGCGGCCUAUCAGCUUGUUGGUGAGGUAAUGGCUUACCAAGGCGACGACGGGUAGCCGGCUGAGAGGGUGACCGGCCACACUGGGACUGAGACACGGCCCAGACCUCCGUACGGGGAGCAG
rnacentral:rRNA from 1 species